GGCGCUAUAGCCAAGUGGUUACGGCGACAGAUUAGAAUUGAGUACCUCCAGGUUUGGGAGUAAACUGUAUAUUCAUCUGUUCCUCUUUGAGGGCGCAGGUUCAAAUCCUGCUGGCGUCG